GCUAACAUUCAAAUUAAUUAAAUUUGAUAAGUGAACUAAACUCAGUUUUCAUCAACCUGUUGUGAACACUACUUUUAAAUAAGUAAGUAGUAAUUUGGGGUUGGAGAACUUGCUUAACUUGAUAUAUCCCAGUUAAGUCAAAUUAGAAAAAAUAAUUUAUUGUACCCAGUGUCCUUUGCGCGUUCUAUCAGACAUGCGCAGAUCUGCCCUGCCUACUUUCGCGCUCUUUCCAACACCUUUCUCAUUUAUUUUCGCCAUUGUGGGUUUAUUUGUCCUCAGCACACUGAUUUGGCUGAAGCAAAUGGUCAGAAGUCCACACAUACCUCAGUCUCUGCAAUUACAGGUCAACCAGAGCAGUAUUCUCUAAUGCAGUGGACUUGUAAGUACUGCACAUUUUCUGCUGGAAAGAGAGGCUACUUGCUUAAGCAUUACCGCUUAAAACAUGGAUACCACACUCGGACAUCCCUACUCCCCAUGUCUUCAUAAGGACUGCCUCUGCACAUUUAAAUCUUUUAAUGCACUCAAAGUACACCUAUCGACAUGGCACUCUCAAAAAGAUGCAGACAAAAGUGGAGAAACUGCAUUUGACUGUCAGUUGUGCAACUUUGUGGAGCCUUGUUAAGAAGCAGACUUCUUUACCCAUUUGCGAAGACAUCUUAAGCUGAGGCAAAUGGUUACUUGCAUAUAUCAAGACUGUAACUUUCAGAGCACUGUUUAUUCUACCUUCACUGCACACAAAAGCAGAAAUGUGAAAUGAGUUUGAACCAUAGUAUGGGUAGGACAUUUGUGUCUAAAUCAUUCAAUCCCAAUAAAAGUUGCUUCAAUCAAAAAAAAUAUUUUUAAUGAAAGAAAAAGAACCUCUUGCUAAAAUGUUUUUUUGAAAAUCUAUAUUUUUUUAAAUAUAUAUAUUUUUUUAUUGAC